CUACGGGAGGCAGCAGUGGGGAAUCUUGCACAAUGGGCGAAAGCCUGAUGCAGCCAUGCCGCGUGAAUGAUGAAGGCCUUAGGGUUGUAAAAUUCUUUCGCUAGGGAUGAUAAUGACAGUACCUAGUAAAGAAGCCCCGGCUAACUUCGUGCCAGCAGCCGCGGUAAUACGUAGGGUGCGAGCGUUGUCCGGAAUUAUUGGGCG
rnacentral:rRNA from 16 species